AGCCUGGCCAUCUCACCAGCUCAGCUCCUGCCUGUCUCAUGUUCUCUGGGCAGCUUGCUCCUCCCAGCCUUCAUCUUCAUUCCUCUGCUCUGGCACCUGCCAGAGAAGAAACAGAUGCUCGUUUUGGCAGACCUGCUUGGCCACAGCAGGCAUGCUGCUUCUUCUCUCAUUCCUGGCAUACCCAGGCAUGAUGUCAGGGAACCCCAGGGGCCAAGGCAAACCCUUCCCAGAUAAGAUUGGUCCUCCACAGAGUCAGGCAUGAUGUUCUCCCACUACCUCUGCCCAGAAAGUCCUUCUCAAAUUCCACUCUGUCGCCUCCAGUGUCUUCAAAUCCAUGACUUGUAGUUCUUCCUCAUUGAUACCUUUACAAACAUAACCGAGACACCACGUGGGAGGCAUGUGCUGCUCUGUCUGCUCUGGGUCUACUAUCCUGACGUCAACAUUUAAUGGAACCCUCCUUCAAGCUGUGUUGCUAGAAGCUAAGUGCCCAGUCUCUCUGGGUUUCUCCUGCCAAGAUUGUCAAGCACCAAGCAUUCUGCCAGAACACGUGACGGAGUGAUGCCACCACCCUCCACUGUUUCACCCCAAUUGUUCAGGAACGACAAUGUGGCUGAAUUUCUCUGUGCCUACUAGGAAGCUUAGACAAGAGUCAUUCUCCUAUAAGGUAUAUACAACCUACAAUGGAAGACCUGGCCAUCAAGCCCUGCCUGGACCUUUUGGACUACCCAGCAGUAAUAAAUCAUGACUGCUGUAAG